UACGUAGGGUGCAAGCGUUGUCCGGAAUUAUUGGGCGUAAAGAGCUCGUAGGUGGCCUGUUGCGUCGGCUGUGAAAACUCGGGGCUCAACUCCGAGCUUGCAGUCGAUACGGGCAGGCUAGAGUUCGGCAGGGGAGACUGGAAUUCCUGGUGUAGCGGUGAAAUGCGCAGAUAUCAGGAGGAGCACCGGUGGCGAAGGCGGGUCUCUGGGCCGAUACUGACACUGAGGAGCGAAAGCGUGGGGAGCGAACAGG
rnacentral:rRNA from 1 species